UAUGUCCUCAUCAAAGGGUGGAAAGAAAGGAAACUCGAACCACCUUGUGAAGGACCUUGUUUUCCUAAGUACUGAGACUGCAGUCUGAGCAGUGGAAAGAGGACGGACUUAUCACACCCAAGUCAAAAGGCGCCACCACCUCCAGAAUCAUGGACUGUCACUCCAGGGCUCACCCACACCAAACUAACUCUAAAAAGAGCUUCAUAAUCACUUGUUUAUUUUUUUUUUCUUUUCCACAUAAGGUCAUCUUGUCAUCAAUGUAACUCAGGCUAGCCAUCCUUUAACCCUUCAGCUUGACGCCUGUUCAGUCAUCCCAUGCGGAGAUGAGCAAGCUCAAGGAAGCUAUCCCAUUUUGUCUGUGAGGAUGUGGCACGUGAGCUCAGAAAGCCACAGUACAACCCAAGCAAUGGCUACCCAGGAAGAGACACAGUGGGAGGAUCUGCUGCACAGAUCAGCAACCAUCUGGAUCGAGUCACUGGAUGCUGGCAUCUGAUGCAAGGAGGAAGCUGCAGAGACAUCUGGGACACCCUGUCAUAAACCUAGUUUCUGACCCAGACUUGCAACACUGGACUCAUUUCACUGGGGAAAAGGAAGGUCUUGAUUUAUUUUCAAUUAUGUUUAUCCCUAUCAGGAAAAGCCUCAGAUACCCUUUUGCUUCUUUGGAGAAGCCCACAAUUAUGAGCCAUAAAAGGCAAGUUAUUUGUAAUAAAACAAGACAGCACCACAUAUACCAGGGUUAUUUGCCAUUGCUGGAUGUGGUUCAGAUAAGGUCUAGCCAAAUGUCCGGCUUAGUCUAGAUACAGCCUGAAAGAAAACAUUAUUUUAUUUGAACUUGACUAUCAUUUUGCCCUUGAAAUUAAAGAAACUCAAAUUCUAUGGUCAGGAAAUUGAUUUUAACAAGACAAAAUCUGUGUCCUUUAAAAAAAAUGGAAAAGAACUCACAAAAGCCUAUUCAUGAUUACUUGCACUAGCAUCCUUUUUUUUUCUUAAUGAAAUUGAUGCCUCUUCUAGUAAGCCUUGGUUCCAAGGAUGUUCUUCAACUUUCCUUUUCUUCUCAGAGCUCUUUGUUCUUACAGCAUGCCCAUUGCCAUUACUUCUCCCCAUUCUAUAGCGAUUCAUGCUGAUUAACAGCAAAUAUAUCAACAGAUUCAGACUUGAACAUCUUGUAUCCACUCCUUAAGAAAUUCAUUUGUUCUCUUAGUUUUUUGGUAUUAUACCAGAUCUAUAUUUCCAGAACCAUGAUUAUUUUAUCUCCAGUUUUAUGGUUAUCACUGAUCCUUGUCAGUUAUCACUGACAUCACAUUCUCAUGCAUACCUAAAAAUUCAGUUAAAUGGGCUGAACUCAAUGGGGUGCAGUCAGAAAACAGUUUUAUUUUUCUGCACUACCAUUUUUGAUUGCUCUCUGUAGAGGCACUUCAGACAAAGGAAGCAAUACAGAGCAGUGGUGAAAAGUCCAGAUUCAGGAGAAGUAAAUCAGUCUCAAUCUCAGCUCUGACAACACACACACACACACACACAUACACAUACACACACACAGGGAUAGUUUACUCUUAAAUAACAUGAAGGUUAACAGUGCUGACCCCUCACACAAAUAAAAUUCCACAUAGAAGUUUGACUCCUCGGAAAUUUAACUACUAAUAGCCUACAGUUGACGGGAAGUCUUAUCAAUAACAUUAACAGUCAAUUGACACAUAUUUUGUAUAUGUAUUAAAUACUAUAUUCUUAACAAUAGAGAACAUAUUUUUAAGAAAAGCAUAAGAAAGAGAAAAUAGAUUUACUAUCCAUUAAAUGCAAGUGGAUCAUCAUAAAGGCCUUCAUCCUUGUCAUCUUCACAUUGAGUAGGCUGAGGAGGAGGAAGAGGAGGGGUUGGUCUUGCUGUUUUAGGGGUAGCAGAGGUGGAGGAAAAUCUGCAUAUAAGUGAAUCUGUGUAGUUCAAAUCCAUGUUGUUCAAGGGUCAACUAUAUACAUAUAUAAUUGGUUAAUACAUAUGAAUAGAAUAAUAUAUAUACACA
rnacentral:lncRNA from 1 species